rfam:Erwinia sp. EM595 isolate E_g_EM595 genome assembly, chromosome: 1
ACAAGCAUGCAUGCUGCCGUUUUUCGUUUCUUUUUUUACUUUAGCACCUGAUUGUCGGGGGCUUCUGCGCAAAAGAGAAGAAACGAAAAAUCGCGCCGAAAGCCUCCCUAGUGGAGGCUUUUUUGUU